AUUUAAGUAGUUUAUUUAAAAUAAAGUUUUGUGGAUUCUUUGAAGCUGUUUAAGUCUUAAAUA
rnacentral:tRNA from 1 species